CGGGAGGGGAGUGAAACAGUACCUGAAACCGUGCGCCCACGAGCAGUCGGAGCAACUUUCAGUUGUGACGGCGUGCCUUUUGUAGAAUGAGCCAGCGAGUCGCUGGCGCGGGGCGAGGUUAACCGAAAGGGAGCCGGAGCGAAAGCGAGCCUUAACAGGGCGACUUGAGUCCCGCGCCGCGGACGCGAAGCCGGGUGAGCUAUCCGUGGGCAGGCUGAAGCGGGGGUAAGACCCCGUGG
rnacentral:rRNA from 1 species